AGGAUGAACGCUGGCGGCGUGCUUAACACAUGCAAGUCGAACGGUGAAGUGAGGAGCUUGCUCCUUGCGGAUCAGUGGCGAACGGGUGAGUAACACGUGAGUAACCUGCCCUUGACUCUGGGAUAAGCGUUGGAAACGACGUCUAAUACCGGAUACGACUUCCGAAGGCAUCUUCUGGAAGUGGAAAGAAUUUCGGUCAAGGAUGGACUCGCGGCCUAUCAGCUAGUUGGUGAGGUAAUGGCCCACCAAGGCAGUGAUCUGUA
rnacentral:rRNA from 1 species